AGGUUGCAGGAAGAUGACUUAGUCAAAGGCUAAACUAUUUAAGGAAAUGGAUAAUGUAGAAUAAUAAUACAAAAGAUUUGAGUGAAAUAAUUGGUAAAGGUUCUCUUUUUAUGACUGUUGAGAAAUGGGCUAGCUUGAUGGUAGAGUGGAUAAAGGAUGAAUGGCAGAAGAAAUUGAAGAUCGCAAAGAACCGUCAAUAGUCUGAUGUGAGCAUCGAUACAAGCGGGUUUGCUAUUAUGUAUGCUCAUGAUAGACGUAUGGAAAUGAUGCUCGAUAAAUCGAUUUAUGACAAAGAGUUGUUUGAACACACUCAUAAGAGAAGAUAGUAUCUUUACAUCUGAGAAAGCAAAGAUAGCGAGUGAGAAAUAUGAUAUUAUGGUGCGACAGAAGUAUGGUGAGGAUCUAUUUUUCUAUUUUUUUUUGGAUGAGGAGGUUUGGUUGGCUGCUGCGGGACUGCUCAAAAAGGAUAGAGUGUUUGUGUUAGGUUAUAGCUUAGUUCCUCCUCCAUCUAAAUCCAACAAUAUAUCAUCUCAAACUAGCAUUGUUGGAUGUGACGCGCAGCUGCAUUCGAAUGAUGAGGUGACGAGGGAGAUGCGUCUUAUGUAGAAGAAUAUGGAUAAGUUAAAUUAGAAUAUUUAGGCACAACAAAAUCCAAUAGGUUAGGUUCUUCUUGCACAAUAGUAAUUUAUAGGCUGGAUUUUUCAUGGUUUGUCUCAAUUGAUACAUCCACAACCACCACCGACAUCAUCUGGAUAGACAACUGAGCAUUCUUCUAGAUCUUCGGAUACGACUCUGACUAUAGCUCCAUAGUGUUAGUCAUCUGCUUGGUGGGCUGCUCUUCCUUGAUGGAUGCCACCACACCCAUAUACUCCAUUGACGUUCCUUCGGUGGCUCAAACUCUAACUCAGCUUUAGGUAGUUGAAGAAAUAUAAUUUUUAAUAUCUUUCUUCAUUUUUUGUGCUAUAUCAUGCUUAUACAUGGAUAUAUGAUAUUUAGGACUCUACUUCAUAGCAACAUGCGU